rnacentral:rRNA from 1 species
CCUACGGGGUGCAGCAGUGGGGAAUAUUGCACAAUGGGGGAAACCCUGAUGCAGCGACGCCGCGUGAGUGAAGAAGUAUUUCGGUACGUAAAGCUCUAUCAGCAGGGAAGAAAAUGACGGUACCUGACUAAGAAGCCCCGGCUAACUACGUGCCAGCAGCCGCGGUAAUACGUAGGGGGCAAGCGUUAUCCGGAUUUACUGGGUGUAAAGGGAGCGUAGACGGCAGCGCAAGUCUGGAGUGAAAUCCCAUGGCUUAACCAUGGAACUGCUUUGGAAACUGUGCAGCUAGAGUGCAGGAGAGGGAAGCGGAAUUCCUAGUGUAGCGGUGAAAUGCGUAGAUAUUAGGAGGAACACCAGUGGCGAAGGCGGCUUACUGGACUGUAACUGACGUUGAGGCUCGAAAGCGUGGGGAGCAAACAGGAUUAGAUACCCGAGUAGUC